UGCUUGCUGAGCAUGAAUUACAGGGUACGUCUCCUUUGGCACAGCAGAAUGCACACAUCAUCAGUCGAGAGAGUAAGCUCGCUGCGUGCUCGCCGGCCUGGGAGCGGAAGUCGCAGGCCAAAUGGCGGCGGUGCAGAUGCAUGAACAGCAGCUGCCGUAUAUAUGCGUGCCAAAGGAGAAUUGCCCUGCGAUUCUAGGCUCAGCGAU